CUCGUAGGCGGUUCGUCGCGUCCGGUGUGAAAGUCCAUCGCCUAACGGUGGAUCCGCGCCGGGUACGGGCGGGCUUGAGUGCGGUAGGGGAGACUGGAAUUCCCGGUGUAACGGUGGAAUGUGUAGAUAUCGGGAAGAACACCAAUGGCGAAGGCAGGUCUCUGGGCCGUCACUGACGCUGAGGAGCGAAAGCGUGGGGAGCGAACA
rnacentral:rRNA from 1 species